GACGAACGCUGGCGGCGUGCCUAAUACAUGCAAGUCGAACGCUUCUUUCCUCCCGAGUGCUUGCACUCAAUUGGAAAGAGGAGUUGCGGACGGGUGAGUAACACGUGGGUAACCUACCCAUCAGAGGGGGAUAACACUUGGAAACAGGUGCUAAUACCGCAUAACAGUUUAUGCCGCAUGGCAUAAGAGUGAAAGGCGCUUUCGGGUGUCGCUGAUGGAUGGACCCGCGGUGCAUUAGCUAGUUGGUGCGGUAACGGCUCACGAAGGGCACGAUGCAUAGCCGACCUGCGGGGUUGAUGGGCCACACUGGGACUGAGACACGGCCCAGACUCCUACGGGAGGCAGCAGUAGGGAAUCGUCGGCAAUGGACGAAAGUCUGACCGAGCAACGCCGCGUGAGUGAAGAAGGUUUUCGGAUCGUAAAACUCUGUUGUGAGAGAAGAACAAGGACGUUAGUAACUGAACGUCCCCUGACGGUAUCUAACCAGAAAGCCACGGCUAACUACGUG
rnacentral:rRNA from 1 species